rnacentral:tRNA from 1 species
GCGUAUGUAGUAUAGCCCGGUUAUUAUUCUCGGUUGCCAUCCGAGGGACGCAGGUUCGAAUCCUGUCAUCCGCACCA